UACGUAGGGUGCGAGCGUUAAUCGGAAUUACUGGGCGUAAAGCGUGCGCAGGCGGUUCGCUAAGACAGAUGUGAAAGCCCCGGGCUUAACCUGGGAACUGCGUUUGUGACUGGCGGGCUGGAGUGCGGAAGAGGGAGGUGGAAUUCCACGUGUAGCAGUGAAAUGCGUAGAGAUGUGGAGGAACACCGAUGGCGAAGGCAGCCUCCUGGUCUAGCACUGACGCUCAUGCACGAAAGCGUGGGGAGCAAAC
rnacentral:rRNA from 1 species